GGGCCCGCACAAGCGGAGGAGCAUGUGGUUUAAUUCGAUGAUACGCGAGGAACCUUACCCGGGCUUGAACGUAAGACGAAUAUAUAAGAGAUUAUAUAGCCUUCGGGCGUCUUGCGAGGUGCUGCAUGGUUGUCGUCAGCUCGUGCCGUGAGGUGUUAGGUUAAGUCCUGCAACGAGCGCAACCCUUACACUUAGUUGCCAGCACAUAAUGGUGGGGACUCUAAGUGAACUGCCUACGCAAGUAGAGAGGAAGGUGGGGAUGACGUCAAAUCAGCACGGCCCUUAUGUCCGGGGCUACACACGUGCUACAAUGGUAUGUACAGAGGGCAGCCACCUGGCGACAGGGAGCUAAUCCUCAAAGCAUAUCUCAGUUCGGAUUGGAGUCUGUAACUCGACUCUAUGAAGUUGGAUUCGCUAGUAAUCGCGCAUCAGCCAUGGCGCGGUGAAUACGUUCCCGGGCCUU
rnacentral:rRNA from 1 species